CUCCCUCAAACCGUGGGAGGGAAUGCCAGGAUCGCCACAGGAACCAGCAGUGUCGCCUACAGAGAGACAAACAAGGAGACAGAGUUAGGUCCCUGACUUCAAAACUAGAAUACUGGACAUCAUCAAAGAUAAAAUGUGACUUUGGAACAACCACUAAUCGGUCACACACACACACACACACACACACACACACACACACACGAACAUCUAUCUGAUGGAAAGAUUUUGGCUGUACUCUGGCUACUCUGGGUUACUGAGCUGAAGCUCCUUUACCCAGGUUAGCAGAAGUUCUCAAGGCUAUAACCUUCUCACUCAUCUGAUCCAGGGACUUACUGUCGGCUUUCGAGUAGAGAAGAGAGGGAGGA